GCCGGGAAGAGCUUCAGUGGUCUGGGGUGCAGGAUUCAAGCCUGUAGCUGUCAGGUGACAGAGUGGUUCGAUUUCACCCUUCAGAUG